AGUGAACGCUGGCGGUAGGCCUAACACAUGCAAGUCGAACGGCAGCACAGUAAGAGCUUGCUCUUACGGGUGGCGAGUGGCGGACGGGUGAGGAAUACAUCGGAAUCUACUUUUUCGUGGGGGAUAACGUAGGGAAACUUACGCUAAUACCGCAUACGACCUACGGGUGAAAGCAGGGGAUCUUCGGACCUUGCGCGAUUGAAUGAGCCGAUGUCGGAUUAGCUAGUUGGCGGGGUAAAGGCCCACCAAGGCGACGAUCCGUAGCUGGUCUGAGAGGAUGAUCAGCCACACUGGAACUGAGACACGGUCCAGACUCCUACGGGAGGCAGCAGGGGGGAAUAUUGGAAAAUGGGCGAAAGCCUGAUCCAGCCAUACCGCGUGGGUGAAGAAGGCCUUCGGGUUGUAAAGCCCUUUUGUUGGGAAAGAAAAGCAGCAGGUUAAUACCCCGCUGUUCUGGCGGUACCCAAAGAAUAAGCACCGGCUAACUUCGU
rnacentral:rRNA from 1 species